ensembl:lncRNA
CAGCGACGCGCCCUGCGUGAACACGGGGUUUGAAAUAUGCAGAGACUCGGCUAAGCUAGACGAGAAAGAGAGUUCAUCUGAUUUUGUUCUGCACUACUUCCUGUCACACACACAAGACCCAUGUCAGCGGCUAUGGCGAAUGAUACCAGUUUUGGCUGGCUUCGGCAAGCGCGUACGCUAAAUUGGAUACGAUACAGAGAAGAUUAGCAUGGCCCCUGCGCAAGGAUGACACGCGAAUGAUACCGCGUGGAUGACUACGUGGAAUAUGGACACAAAUCCCAGCAACAGAUGCUGUGGUGUAGAUGUCAUGGAAGGUCCUCUUCCCCCUCUCCAAGGCAGAACUUCGAGCUCCAUGACCUGAUGACACGAGCUCCUUCAUUCUUUAAGUCUUAAAAUUGGACAGCUUAUGCUUACAUGGGAUGACCCAAAUAUAUUCUGCCAGCAAAAGUAGGUGGAGGAAGAAGGACCCCAAAACUGGCAGCUUAAUAUCAGAACACUGUCAGCCCUUACAGCAGCAGACACUGCAGUCACUGGUACAGCUCUUUGUGGACCUUCACUAGUUGUGCACAUCACCAGUCACUGAGCUGCUGCAGAAUGACCUACAUUGACCCGAUGUUACCCAAUGCUGGAAAACAAUUUCCAGUAGUGAAUUCUCGAAGGAUCCAAACCUCUUCCUUCUUAUUUGAUGAUUGAAACAUCAGCUUGCAGCCUCGUGCACAGGUGAAAUAUUAUUAUUAUUAUUAUUAUUAUUAUUAUCAUCAUCAUUUUUUUAAAAAUGUAUCUCAUGACUGAUGAACAGGAAAACUUAAGUAGUUCUCUACUUGUUGUCUUGCUAUUGUCUCAUCUGUUAGGCUUUGCCAAUACGUUGCUCUACAGAGGCCAGUUUUUACUUACUAAAGUGUUUUUCUUUCUGUUAGCGAGGAAUCGGACAAGAUUUUGCAUCAGAAGAAAUAUCCAAAGUGGUGGGGAGCAUCAUGACCAGCCUUGGAAGAUCUGUGUUAUUGGCUUAAAUUGAACAUUUUCCUUCACUCUUACCACAGCAACAACCAUCCAGGCAAAUACUGUAAUAAAAUGGCACAAACUUGUAUCAUAUUUCUCGCAGUUCUGAUUUUGGGGUCAUAACAUCCAGCUCUCAAAUAGCUGAAUUAAAGCAGCAGAGGGUUCAUUAAUCACUUUUGCUGAAAGUGUUUUGCAGAAGUGACAGCAACUGGACUCCUAAGAACGAUUACAGUUUCAGUGAAUGCCUUGCAUCAUCAGAGGCUUCAGCUCAUUUUAAAUAUCUGCUUGUUCUAUUGUUUUGUCAUCGAGCAGGGUUAGAAGCUUGUUUGUCUGGCACUAUGAUGUGUAUGUAUUAUUGUAGGGUCUACCUUACAAUAUAAAGUGGCUUGAGGUGACUGUUGUGAUUUGGUGCCAGAUAAAUAACUUUGAAUUGAAUUAAUCUGUAUUCAGAUAUUUAUGUACCCAGAAAACAGAGAAAGUAACUGUAUAGUUGUAACAUUGAAGAUUCUCUGCAACAUCUGUGCAGGAAGCAAACUUGAGAUGGUUGGUGUUAAACUCAACAAUAUCCUGCUGUUCACCCGGUUAGCUGUAACUAUACUGAUAAUGAAAUCACUGGUGUAUUUUUACACCUUUAGAUACUGAUUUACACUGGCUCUGCAGGUUUGGUGUAUCUGUAGAGUAUCAGUGGUUUACACAUGGAUUUCUUUUGAAUAAACCAUAAUUCAUAUGUAAUGUAGGUAUUUGGCACCAGUACAGAUCAUCAACCAGAUAUGAAUAGAUUAUAGAGAACUGGCUUCUUUAUUUACACAGAAUUGAAAGGGGGGGGGGGGGGUAAAGAUGGGACCACAUUCAGGUUGGCUCAAUCUUCACUUUAAGAAAAAGGGGGGAAAAAUGAAUAUAAAUAUAUAAAAAAAGAUGUGCUCCUGGUAUUAAAUUACAAAUGUGUACAUCCUCUCAGUAUCACAUUCCUAUCUGUUGUUUUUGUUUGGUUUUCAGUCAAUACAGAAAUAUGAAAUGACAACAUGACCUAAAUAAACUAAAUUCAGACAUGUGACAAGUUGCUGUUCUCCAUGGUUUCCCAUCUCUGCUGUAUAGUAGAAUUUUAACCACCAGGUGGCAGUUGAAUAUCAGUGAUCACCUCCAGUCUGUUGCCUAUAAUGAGGUAACACAUUUUACUGGACUAAUUAGUGCCUCAAAACUGCACACACUGAUAACUCCUGCGGCAUCGUUUUUCAUCCGUAUCCUGUGGUGCACACGCCAUGUAGGAUUCUGUGGAAAUGAACUUCACAAUCGCUCUCGCACAAACGUGUUUUAACAUUGUUUUAAUGUAAAUGUGUAAGACUGCCAUUACCUCAACUGUAUUGCUACACUUUAAACACUUCUAGCUUUUAAAGUAAAAAGUUUAACAAUUUAAAGUGCAAAACAGAUGAAUUCAAAUGUUUUGGGGGAUACAUAUGUAAUCAAAUAUAUUUUGAACAUACUGACCUGGUAUUUGCUCAGUUUGAACACGAAUGAUUUUAAGUGUUUGGAUGUCGCACUACAUGUCAUCCAU